rnacentral:rRNA from 1 species
GUCUAUGUCAAUUGCCAACCUUGAUGUAUUUAUCUAUGCCAUAGACUUUUGAGUCUGCUCUGCUCUCCUGUGCUAUAUAUGGUCUAUGUCGACCUUGAUGUUUUUAUCCUUAAUUAUCAACUAGUUCCAUUAGUUCCAGACUUUGCCAUCUUUCAUCUAUAUCUGUGCCUGCCGGCGCAAGCAGAUGAUCCCCAUCUUCUUCCUCCUAAUCUUGAGUUCAUUCUGCAGCGCGGAUGACCAGCUCACACAAGCCAAGCCACUCACCCAUGGCGAGAUGCUCAUUUCCGAGAGCGGGGACUUUGCUCUGGGCUUCUUCUCCCCGACAAGCUCCAACAAGAGUUUUUACCUUGGCAUAUGGUACCACAGCCUCCCCGGGCCACAGACCGUCGUGUGGAUCGCCAACCGAGACAGCCCAAUCAUCAACACCCUUCGUCCAUGAUGCUCAAGGUAACUAACAAUUCUCGCAUGGUAUUAUCAGACUCCGAAGGCCGUAUUAUUUGGAUGGCAGGAAGCAAUGUCACUUCUGGGGCGCCAGGAGCUUAUGCAGUACUACUCAACUCAGGGAACUUUGUCCUCCGGUCUUCGGGCGACCAGGACAUAUGGUUGAGCUUUGAUCAUCCGACCGACACCGUCCUUCCAAACAUGAGAUUUUUGGUGAGCUAUAAGGCACAAAUCGUCACACGUCUUGUUGCUUGGAAGGGCCCCGAUGACCCAUCUUCUGGGGACUUCUCAUGCAGCGGCGACCCAAGAUCCCCAGACCUUCAGUUGGUAACGUUGAACAAGGCUAGGCUAUAUUGUCGUAUCAUUGUGUGGGACGGUGUGUCGGUGUCCGGCCGCACACUUCUAACCAACACUAGCUCCACAUUGUACCAAACAGUUGUCAACUCUGGAGACGAGUUCAGUUACACGUUCGCCGUCUCCAACAACUCACCGUUCAUGCACAUCAUGCUUGACUACACUGGCAAGUUGAAGGCUCUAGGCUGGGACGAUCACUCCAUGUCAUGGACAGUCAUCAAUGAGCACCCCAAUAGUGCUUGCGAUCUCUACGCCUCUUGUGGCCCGUUUGGCUAUUGUGACUUCACCAAGGCCAUUCCAACAUGUCAGUGCUUUGAUGGGUUUGAGCCCGUCGACAGUACUAACUCUUUUAAAGGAUGUCAGAGAAAAGAAGCGCUGAAUGCAGCAAGAAAAGUCAUUUCGCGUCUUUUCCUCGAAUGAAGGUGCCUGACAUGUUCUUGCAUAUACGCAACAGAAAGUUGGAUGACUGUGCAGCUGAGUGCAUCAACAAUUGCUCGUGUACAGCGUAUGCUUAUGCCAACUUGAGUAGCGGAGGUGCUAUGGCUGACCCGUCAAGGUGCUUAGUUUGGUCAGGGGAGCUUAUUGAUGCUCAGAAGAGAACCGUUGGCGAGAACCUGUACCUCCGACUUUUUUUUGGUUCGGAACCACCAGCACACGAGUCUCCUCGUGCUCGGGGUGUGCCCUCCGACUUGCCAAUCCUGGUAUUCGGUGUUCCAUGCCCUCUUGUUUUUACCUAGUCAGUAAUGAUUUUAACUCUAUUGUUAGUAUCUAUCAAUACAUAUUUAACCAAAAAAGAUUGUAGUACUAUAAAAAUAAUUUCAAAAAAUAUCUAACCAUACCAUUUUCAAGAUAUCCAAUCUAAAUAUAUCAAGCAGUAUCAGUAGUUAAAAAUUUAGAAGUUCCUUAUCAAGAACAUCACGUUGUUUAGAAACUGGAAGGAAUACAUAUGGAAGGUCCUCUUGUUUAAAUAAACACGGCAUUCCUUUUAAUAUCAUUUUACAAUUGCUAGGUUGUUCAAUUACUUCUGGCCUUCACUUUCAAAUUCAUUGACAAUUCUUUCCAGAUUCCAUGUCUUAACUUUCCCAUACGGCCAUAGCUAGUUGCUAUUUUUUCUCUUGAAUUGACAAUAAUGUCCAAUGCAUAUUUGCAAGAUCAACUACCAUUUUUUAAGAUGGUCAAAUCUUUGAUUUACCACUGGCCCUGGUAGUUCAGGUUAAGAAAUAACAAUAGUCCAGGUGCCUAAUUAGCUUCACAAAAUCCGUCAUGGUACUUAUGGAAGUUAAUUCUGAAUUUCUGAUUGGUCGUAUUUCUGCGGUCGACAAGGAAAUCGGUCCAGUAAAGAUUGUACUCCCCAUUAUAUCAUGUCUGCUACUACUAGCAUGCAUAGUCUUCAUCUGGAUAUACAAAUAUAGAGGCAAAUGGGGAAAGAAGAAAUACCAGAAGAAACUGAUGCUAGGAUACAUUAGCACAUCCAACUCACUAGAAGGCAAAAAUACGGAAUUUCCAUGUUUUAUCUAUGAAGACAUACUUUCAGGAACAAAUUUUUUUGCGGAUUCCAAUUUGCUUGGACGUGGAGGUUUUGGCAAAGUUUACAAGGGCACAAUGGAAGGUGGAAAAGAAGUUGCUGUCAAAAGGCUUAGUAAGAGUUCUGGGCAAGGUAUAGUGGAGUUCAAAAAUGAAGUAGUUCUCAUUGCAAAACUGCAGCACAAGAAUCUAGUCAAACUUCUCGGCUGCUGCAUUCAUGAAGAUGAGAAGUUAUUGGUCGACGAGUACAUAACUAAAAAAAGUUGGACGCCUUUCUUUUUG